rnacentral:misc_RNA from 1 species
GAUGAAGAACGCAGCGAAAUGCGAUAAGUAAUGUGAAUUGCAGAAUUCAGUGAAUCAUCGAAUCUUUGAACGCACAUUGCGCCCCUUGGUAUUCCGAGGGGCAUGCCUGCUCGAGCGUCAUUAUAACCCCUCAAGCUCAGCUUGGUGUUGGCGCCUGCUGCACUGGCAGCCCUUAAAAUCAGUGGCGGCGCCAUCUGGCUCUAAGCGUAGUAAUUCUUCUCGCUAUGGAGUCCUGGUGGAUGCUUGCCAUCAACCCCCAAUUUUUCUAUGGUUGACCUCGGAUCAGGUAGGGAUACUCGCUGAACUUAAGCAUAUCAAUAAGCGGAGGA